rnacentral:rRNA from 1 species
GCGGGGAAAAGCCCCCUUAUAGGGGGCACUCGGGGUGACCCCGUCACGGUUGCCCGCAUUGCGGAGGUU